rnacentral:rRNA from 1 species
UACGUAGGUGGCAAGCGUUGUCCGGACUUACUGGGCGUAAAGGGCGCGUAGGCGGCCCGCUAAGUCGAACGUGAAAUCCCCGAGCUCAACUCGGGAACUGCGUCCGAUACUGGUGGGCUUGAAUCCGGGAGAGGGAUGCGGAAUUCCAGGUGUAGCGGUGAAAUGCGUAGAUAUCGAGAGGAACACCAGUGGCGAAGGCGAGUCUCUGGACGACUCCUGACACUGAGGCACGAAAGCUGGGGGAGCAAACAGG